rnacentral:rRNA from 1 species
GUGAGGAAUUUUCUGCAAUGGGCGAAAGCCUGACAGAGCAAUACCGCGUGAGGGAUGAAGACUUACUGAGUUGUAAACCUCGGUACCUUAAGGAAGAAGAUCUGACGGUACUUAAGGUGGAAAGCAUCGGCUAACUCCGUGCCAGCAGCCGCGGUAAGACGGGGGAUGCAAGUGUUAUCCGGAUUUACUGGGCGUAAAGCGUCUGCAGGUGGUUUCUUAAGUCUACUGUUAAAUCUUGAGGCUCAACCUCAAAUCUGCAGUAGAAACUAGGAGACUUGAGUAUAGUAGGGGUAGAGGGAAUUUCCAGUGGAGCGGUGAAAUGCGUAGAUAUUGGAAAGAACACCGAUGGCGAAGGCACUCUACUGGGCUAUUACUGACACUCAGAGACGAAAGCUAGGGGAGCAAAUGGGAUUAGAAACCCCUGUAGUCC